rnacentral:rRNA from 1 species
GAAGAAAGAGGGGGGCGUGCUUAACACAUGCAAGUCGAACGGUGAAGCGCCUUCCUUUUUGGUGGGUGUGGAUGAGUGGCGAACGGGUGAGUAACACGUGAGUAACCUGCCCCCUUCUUCUGGAUAACCGCAUGGAAGUGUGGCUAAUACGGGAUAUUCUGGGUCUGUCGCAUGAUGGGUCUGGGAAAGAUAUUGUUUCGGUGGGGGAUGGGCUCGCGGCCUAUCAGCUUGUUGGUGGGGUGAUGGCCUACCAAGGCGGUGACGGGUAGCCGGCCUGAGAGGGUGGACGGUCACACUGGGACUGAGACACGGCCCAGACUCCUACGGGAGGCAGCAGUGGGGAAUAUUGCACAAUGGGCGCAAGCCUGAUGCAGCGACGCCGCGUGAGGGAUGGAGGCCUUCGGGUUGUGAACCUCUUUCGCCAGUGAAGCAGGCCUGCCUCGUUUGUGGGUGGGUUGACGGUAGCUGGAGAAGAAGCGCCGGCUAACUACGUG